rnacentral:piRNA from 1 species
UCCCUGACAGUGAAGAAUAAGCCCAAGGACC